rnacentral:misc_RNA from 1 species
AACGCACCUUGCGCUCCUUGGUAUUCCGAGGAGCAUGCCUGUUUGAGUGUCAUUAAAUUCUCAACCUCACCCGGUUUUCGAACCUGUGUGAUGGCUUGGACUUGGGAGUUCUGCAGGCUGCGGUCUAACCGCGGUUUCUGCUCUCCUUAAAUGUAUUAGCAGGUCUUUAACCUCUAUCCCAACGGUGUGAUAAUCUAUCUACGCUGCUGGUUUGGAGACCCUUCAUUGGGGGGACUAGCUUCUAGCCGUCCGCAAGGACAAUUAUGACCAAUCUUGACCUCAAAUCAGGUAGGACUACCCGCUGAACUUAA